AAUUUCAUUAAAUCACAUUAAAUCCAACCUCUCUCCAUUGCUCCUCAUAGUUAUUGUGUAUCAUUGUCUUCUUUCUGCCUCAGGACAUCAUGCAUUCCUGGGCAUUUGGGCUUGGUAAUAGAUUACGAAAACAGUCAACUUUCCAAGGCCCAUGUUUCUGUCUUGAGGGCUGAUAGUAUUACUGAUCUCUUCCUGCACGUGGGCUCAGGGCUAAGUAAGUGCCCAAGAGGAGUGGCUUUUUAUGAGUGUAAUAGCGUUGGGGAAAGAAUCAAGGUACAUUGUAGUGAUAGUAAUGAGAGAGAGAGAGCGUAGUCAUCAUGUCCAAGUUCAGUGCUGCUGUUUUGUUGCUGGCUCUGGUGCUGUUGGCCAUCCUUUUGGAGGAAAGUGAGGCAAGACGGUCAACAGGGAGAAAGGGCCUGAGAGUGUGCAGAUGCCAACUGCUCCCAAAUGGAAAUCUAUAUUGUCGCAAGGGAAAGCCCACCAAAUAUGACAACCUCAUGCCAUCUUUAAUUAAAUGUCUCUGCAAAAGAAAGUUUAAUCACGCUGAGAUGACCAACAAGAUGAUAAAGACUCUUCAGAACCUCUGUGGCUCUCUGUCCAAACCACUGUAGCAUCCAGGGUAUACCCACCACUGCACCAUGCUGCAAAAUGCUAAUGCUAAUAUAUCAUCAUCAUCAUCAUCAUCAUCAACAACAACAACAACAACAACUUGCAUUUAUAUAGGGCUUUACAAAACAUUUUACAGUGAAGGGGGGACUUCAUUAACCACCACCAAUAUCUCACGUGUUGUAUAUCUCAACUUAUACAGUCUAUGAUCUCAACUCAUAUCUCACAUGUUGUACAAGUAUAUUCCCCAUGCUGCUAGGUGCUAAUAGCUAUGUAUGUUUAUUCUUUUUAUUCUUGCUGUUUUUGGGUCCCAGUAUGAGUGAUGGGCAAAGUAGACAAAACAUUAUUCUCAUUACAAAUAUACCAACAUCAAAUGAAUAUUUCAUGAAUUCACAUUCCAAAUAUACCUGAACAGAAGUGAGCAAGCGUAUUUGACGAGUCUCUCGAAGUUCAACAUUAGACUUAAGACUUUGACCAUCAUUCAAGGUAGGGCUGGAACUAGACUAGCGACUAUUGACUAGAAUUUCAAUUUUCAAUAACUCUUGGCAAAUAUCCACAUUCUUCAGGCUUGUCGUCUUUUGUAGGAAUGUGGUGUGUAUUUGAAUAUUGGAAGCAAAUCUUUCUUUGUAUUUGUAAAGGUGUUCCUCUGGUGUAUAGGUAGGAAGCCUACUGUUGUGCAUAGGUCUGCUGACCCUAGACAGGUAAAGGGGUUUUGACCAAUAAGAUAAUUCCUGUGCACUGGCCGUUUUCAGAUCCCAGGUGCUGGUGAUGUGCGGGGAUAUCGGACUUUAAAAAAUGGAGAUCAUCACGGCACACUGGUCUACUAUUGAUGUCAAUAAAAUCUUGCAAAAAACUCUUUGUUUUUUCUUUUGAUGUUUGUCUGUAAUUCUUUAAAACUAACAGAGAGAAAGGGAAGUGCAACACUGCUUUUUCCAUGGAGCUUUAUUGAUAAACUGAUCUUUCGAUCAGUCAAACCUUCAUCAGAGACUGACUGUCUGUCUUUCUGUUACUUUUAAGUUGUCCUUACGAAAUAGCUGCACCUGCUGUAUAAUCUCUACCCCUCUGUAAUUACUCACAUUCUCACUUUUUUGUCUGCUUUUGUGUAAUGAAGAUUCACAAAACAACGUCUGAUUCCUCUUCCCUGUGUUGAUGCUUAAGUGUAAUGUAGGGUUACGUUGCUCAGCACAUUCAAAAACAUUUA